rnacentral:rRNA from 1 species
AGCUACGGGGAGCUGGCAAUAAAGCUUUGAUCCGUAGAUGUCCGAAUGGGGAAACCCACUCCGCAAGGAGUAUCCCGUACUGAAUACAUAGGUACGUGGAAGCGAACCCGGUGAACUGAAACAUCUAAGUAGCCGGAGGAAAAGAAAUCAACCGAGAUUCCCAAAGUAGUGGCGAGCGAAAUGGGAACAGCCUGCAAGUGAUAAUCGAUUCGUUAGCGGAACGCUCUGGAAAGUGCGGCCGUAGUGGGUGAUAGCCCCGUACGCGAAAACCAAUCGGUGGUACUGAGCUUGCGACAAGUAGGGCGGGGCACGUGAAACCCUGUCUGAAUAUGGGGGGACCAUCCUCCAAGGCUAAAUACUCGUGAUCGACCGAUAGUGAACCAGUACCGUGAGGGAAAGGCGAAAAGAACCCCGGGAGGG